rnacentral:rRNA from 1 species
AUUGAACGCUGGCGGCAGGCCUAACACAUGCAAGUCGAGCGAGCGGCGGACGGGUGAGUAAUGUCUGGGAAACUGCCUGAUGGAGGGGGAUAACUACUGGAAACGGUAGCUAAUACCGCAUACCAUCAGAUAUGCCCAGAUGGGAUUAGCUAGUGGGUGGGGUACAGGCUCACCUAGGCGACGAUACCUAGCUGGUCUAGGAGGAUGACCAGCAACACUGGAACUGAGAAACGGUCCAGACUGAUACGGGGGGCAGCAGGGGGGAAUAUUGCACAAUGGGCGCAAGCCUGAUGCAGCCAUGCCGCGAAUGGGAAGAAGGCCUUCGGGUUGUACAGCACUUUCAGCGGGGAGGCGUUACCCGCAGAAGAAGCACCGGCUAACUCCGUGCCAGCAGCCGCGGUAAAAC